rnacentral:lncRNA from 10 species
UCCAUAGAUAGUGAUUCCUCUGUUGGAUCUGGGAAAAGUCCAUUGAAAACCUUCUGGGAUGGAUUUGUCAUUCUAGAUUCCAUUAAGAACAUUCAUGAUUCAUGAGAGGAAGUCAACAUAUCAUCAUUAACAGGAGUUUUGAAGAAAUUCACUCCAAUCCUCAUGGAUGACUUUGAGGGGUUCAAGACUUCCAUGAAGAAAUUAACUGCAGACAUGGUGAAAAUAGAAAGAUCACAAGAAUUAGAAGUGAAGGCCUGAAGAUGUUACUGAAUUAAUGUAAUCUCCUGGUAAAACUUGAAUGGACAAGGAGUUGCUUCUUAUGGAUGGGCAAAGAAAGUGUUUUCUUAAGAUGGAAUUUACUCCUGGUGAAGAUGCUGUGAACAUUGUUGAAAUGACAACAAAUGAUUUAGAAUAUUACAUAAACUUAGUUAAGAGUUUGAGAGGGUUGACUUCAAUUUUUAAAGAAGGUCUAGUGUGGGUAAAAUGCUAUCAAACAGCAUUGCAUGCUACAGAGAAAUCUUUUGCAGCAGCAAACUUCAUUGUUGUCUUAUUUUAAGAGGUUGCCACAGCCACCCCAACCUUCAUCAACUACCACCUUGAUUAGUCAGAAGCCAUCAACAUCAAGGCAAGAUUCUCCAACAGCAAAAUGAUUAUGACUCGCUGAAGGCUCAGAUGAUGGUUAGCAGUUUUUGGAAAUAAAGUAUUUUUAAA